GGCAUGCGGAGUGGAUGGUGUCAGGGUGUUUCAUACGGUUUCACAACUGUUAUCUUCCAGGUUGCUUCAAAGCAUCGGCCUCCUCAUCUGAAGACAGGCACUGAGGGAUCUCAGAUAGAAUGAUAACCUGUUCCACUCUGCAUUGCAGCAACUCACUGGGGACAGGUACCAAUGAGUCAAGACCAGCCAUGGGCAAAGAAAACUCAGAAUGGCCAACCUGGAAGGAACCCUUGUUCCCAAGAGCUUCCAGAAUGGUGUGCAGUGUCUGGAACUUAGAAUCUACUUGGCAAACACUUGUGGAAUGUUGCCCUGGGUUUUCCAACACUUAUACCAAGCUUCCUUUCUCUCUACCAUCUUAAAAUAGGUUGUUUUUUUUUCUGGUCUUGUUUUGCACAUUAGAGUCCAUUUGGAGAAGCACUAAUACCCAAAAAUGUAUUUUUGGAGCUAGA
rnacentral:lncRNA from 1 species